rnacentral:rRNA from 1 species
GAUGAACGCUGGCGGCGUGCUUAACACAUGCAAGUCGAACGGUAAGGCCCUUCGGGGUACACGAGUGGCGAACGGGUGAGUAACACGUGGGUGAUCUGCCCUGCACUUCGGGAUAAGCCUGGGAAACUGGGUCUAAUACCGGAUAGGACCACUGCCUGCAUGGGUGGUGGUGGAAAGCUUUUGCGGUGUGGGAUGGGCCCGCGGCCUAUCAGCUUGUUGGUGGGGUGGUGGCCUACCAAGGCGACGACGGGUAGCCGGCCUGAGAGGGUGACCGGCCACACUGGGACUGAGAUACGGCCCAGACUCCUACGGGAGGCAGCAGUGGGGAAUAUUGCACAAUGGGCGCAAGCCUGAUGCAGCGACGCCGCGUGAGGGAUGACAGCCUUCGGGUUGUAAACCUCUUUCAGCACCGACGAAGCGCAAGUGACGGUAGGUGCAGAAGAAGGACCGGCCAACUACGUGCCAGCCGCCGCCGUAA